rnacentral:rRNA from 1 species
AGAGUUUGAUCCUGGCUCAGGAUAAACGCUGGCGGCGUGCCUAACACAUGCAAGUCGAACGGACAUUAUGAGAAUUGAAGCUUCGGCCUAAAUUUUCUUAAUUGUUAGUGGCAAACGGGUGAGUAAUACAUAAGUAAUUUGCCCUUAAGUCUGGGAUAACUCUUCGAAAGGAGAGCUAAUACCGGAUAUUUUCUUUUGUUCGCAUGAAUAUUAGAGGUAAGGUUUACUGCUUAAGGAGAAGCUUAUGUCUGAUUAACUAGUUGGUGGGGUAAUGGCCUACCAAGGUUACGAUCAGUAGCUGGUCUGAGAGGAUGGUCAGCCACACUGGGACUGAGACACGGCCCAGACUCCUACGGGAGGCAGCAGUGGGGAAUUUUGCGCAAUGGGGGAAACCCUGACGCAGCAACGCCGCGUGAGCGACGAAGUCUUUCGGGAUGUAAAGCUCUGUCGAGAGAGAAGAUAAUGACGGUAUCUCUAAAGGAAGCCCCGGCUAACUACGUGCCAGCAGCCGCGGUAAUACGUAGGGGGCGAGCGUUAUCCGGAUUUAUUGGGCAUAAAGCGCGCGCAGGCUGUUUUUUAAGUCGGGUGUUAAAUACCUCAGCUCAACUGGGGUCUGCAUUCGAAACUGAAAAACUAGAGAUCAGGAGAGGGAAGCGGAACUUACGGUGUAGCGGUGAAAUGCGUAGAUAUCGUAAGGAACACCAGUUGCGAAGGCGGCUUCCUGGACUGAAUCUGACGCUGAGGCGCGAAAGCGUGGGGAGCGAACGGGAUUAGAUACCCCGGUAGUCCACGCCGUAAACUGUGUUCACUAGGUGUUGGAGGUAUCGACCCCUUCAGUGCCACAGAUAAUUCGUUAAGUGAACCGCCUGGGGAGUACGACCGCAAGGUUAAAACUCAAAGGAAUUGACGGGGGCCCGCACAAGCAGUGGAGCAUGUGGUUUAAUUCGACGAUACGCGAAAUACCUUACCAAGGUUUGACAUCUACAGAAUUCUUUGGAAACAGAGAAGUGCCUGCGAAGGAACUGUAAGACAGGUGGUGCAUGGUUGUCGUCAGCUCGUGUCGUGAGAUGUUGGGUUAAGUCCCGCAACGAGCGCAACCCCCGUUCUGUGUUGCCAGCAUGUAAUGAUGGGAACUCACAGAAUACUGCCUGUGGAAAGCAGGAGGAAGGUGGGGAUGACGUCAAAUCAUCAUGCCCCUUACAUCUUGGGCUACACACAUGCUACAAUGCCUGGUACAAAGAGUUGCGAAGCCGCAAGGUAGUGCUAAUCUCAAAAAGCCAGGCUCAGUUCGGAUUGUAGUCUGCAACUCGACUACAUGAAGUUGGAAUUGCUAGUAAACGCAGAUCAGCACGCUGCGUUGAAUACGUUCCCGGGCCUUGUACACACCGCCCGUCACACCAUGAAAGUUAGGAACACCCGAAGCCGAUAUACUAACC